rnacentral:rRNA from 1 species
AGAGUUUGAUCCUGGCUCAGCCUGAACGCUGGCGGCGUGGCUAAGACAUGCAAGUCGCACGGAGGUAGCAAUACCUUAGUGGCGAACGGGUGAGUAAUGUAUCGCUAACGUACCCUUUAGUCCGGGAUAGCCAGGGGAAACUCUGGGUAAUACCGGGAGAUAUUCCUGCUUCGCAUGGAGUGGGACUCAAAGGAGCAAUCCGCUGAAGGAGCGGGCGAUAUCGUAUCAGCUAGUUGGUGAGGUGACGGCUCACCAAGGCGACGACGCGUAGCCGGACUGAGAGGUCGGUCGGCCACAUUGGGACUGAGACACUGCCCAGACUCCUACGGGAGGCAGCAGUGGGGAAUAUUGCACAAUGGGCGCAAGCCUGAUGCAGCGACGCCGCGUGGGGGAUGACGGCCUUCGGGUUGUAAACCUCUUUCACCAUCGGCGAAGCCCAUGAUUUUUGUUGUGGGUGACGGUAGGUGGAGAAGAAGCACCGACCAACUACGUGCCAGCAGCCGCGGUAAUCA